GGGGAAUAUUGGACAAUGGGGGCAACCCUGAUCCAGCCAUGCCGCGUGAGUGAUGAAGGCCCUAGGGUUGUAAAGCUCUUUUGUGCGGGAAGAUAAUGACGGUACCGCAAGAAUAAGCCCCGGCUAACUUCGUGCCAGCAGCCGCGGUAAUACGAAGGGGGCUAGCGUUGCUCGGAAUCACUGGGCGUAAAGGGUGCGUAGGCGGGUCUUUAAGUCAGAGGUGAAAUCCUGGAGCUCAACUCCAGAACUGCCUUUGAUACUGAGGAUCUUGAGUUCGGGAGAGGUGAGUGGAACUGCGAGUGUAGAGGUGAAAUUCGUAGAUAUUCGCAAGAACACCAGUGGCGAAGGCGGCUCACUGGCCCGAUACUGACGCUGAGGCACGAAAGCGUGGGGAGCAAAC
rnacentral:rRNA from 1 species